rnacentral:rRNA from 1 species
AGUGGCAGACGGGUGAGGAACACGUGGGAAUAUCCCCUUCAGUUCGGAAUAACUCAGGGAAACUUGAGCUAAUACCGGAUACGUCAGAGAUGAGAAAGAUUUAUCGCUGAAGGAUUAGCCCGCGUCUGAUUAGCUAGUUGGUGAGGUAAUGGCUCACCAAGGCGACGAUCAGUAGCUGGUCUGGGAGGAUGAUCAGCCACAUUGGGACUGAGACACGGCCCAAACUCCUACGGGAGGCAGCAGUGGGGAAUAUUGGACAAUGGGCGAGAGCCUGAUCCAGCCAUGCCGCGUGAGUGAUGAAGGCCUUCGGGUUGUAAAGCUCUUUUGUCCGGGAAGAUAAUGACUGUACCGGAAGAAUAAGCCCCGGCAAACUUCGUGCCAGCAGCCGCGGUAAUACGAAGGGGGCUAGCGUUGUUCGGAAUCACUGGGCGUAAAGCGCACGUAGGCGGCUUGUUAAGUCAGGGGUGAAAGCCUGGAGCUCAACUCCAGAACUGCCCUUGAUACUGGCAAGCUUGAGUGUGGAAGAGGUUGGUGGAACUCCGAGUGUAGAGGUGAAAUUCGUAGAUAUUCGGAAGAACACCAGUGGCGAAGGCGGCCAACUGGUCCAUUACUGACGCUGAGGUGCGAAAGCGUGGGGAGCAAACAGGAUUAGAUACCCUGGUAGUCCACGCCGUAAACGAUGGAUGCUAGCCGUCAGGGA